AUGAACGCUGGCGGCGUGCCUAAUACCUGCAAGUCGAGCGAACAGAUGAGGAGCUUGCUCCUCUGACGUUAGCGGCGGACGGGUGAGUAACACGUGGAUAACCUACCUAUAAGACUGGGAUAACUUCGGGAAACCGGAGCUAAUACCGGAUAAUAUAUUGAACCGCAUGGUUCAAUAGUGAAAGACGGUUUUGCUGUUACUUAUAGAUGGAUCCGCGCCGCAUUAGCUAGUUGGUAAGGUAACAGCUUACCAAGGCAACGAUGCGUAGCCGACCUGAGAGGGUGAUCGGCCACACUGGAACUGAGACACGGUCCAGACUCCUACGGGAGGCAGCAGUAGGGAAUCUUCCGCAAUGGGCGAAAGCCUGACGGAGCAACGCCGCGUGAGUGAUGAAGGUCUUCGGAUCGUAAAACUCUGUUAUUAGGGAAGAACAAAUGUGUAAGUAACUAUGCACGUCUUGACGGUACCUAAUCAGAAAGCCACGGCUAACUACGUG
rnacentral:rRNA from 1 species